rnacentral:rRNA from 1 species
GCUUUCUUUUACUUAAAACGAGAGAUAAAUUUAUAAACUGAAAAGAAAAACUAGCAAAUAAAUUAGUAUGUUGUACUUUUUGAAUAACGGUUUCUCAAAUUUUAAAAAAUUCUUAACCCGAAAUGAGAAGAUCUAAUUUGGAGAAUAUAUUCUAUGUAGCAAAAUGGAAGAAGUAUCAAAAAUUAGGGACGAAAAGUCUUCAAUUCUCAAGUUAUCUGGAUUCCCUGCUAAAUACAUUUAGUGUAGAAAAGACAGUCUGUCGGUUUUUAGGUCGACAGAAGGAAAUAUAUUUUAUUUUACUUAUUCUAAGAUUAAUAUUUUAAUGAAAACCAAAUAGAAUUAUUAAUUAAUAGAAAUAUUUUUAAUGUAGCGGGAUAAUAACUAAAUCCUAUUUAUGGGAAAAUUAGUAGUAAUAGAUAAAAAGCUUAAAGGAACUCGGCAAAUAUGUACUUCGACUGUUUACCAAAAACAUAGCCCUAAGAAAAUAAUUUUGGGUGAAGCCUGCCCUAUGAUCUAAUUAAAUGGCCGCGGUACUCUGACCGUGCUAAGGUAGCAUAAUCAAUUGGCUUUUAAAUGGAGUCUGGAAUGAAAGGAGAUACGGGGUACAGCUGUCUCUAUGCUUUUAUUACGAAUUUACUAAUCAGGUGAAAAGGCCUGAGAAAGAAAAAAGACGAGAAGACCCUUAGAGUUUUACUUUUUGUUGGGGCGACACAGAGUCACGAAAACACUCUGAUAUUUAUAUGACGGAUUUAUCAUGUUUAGAUAAACUACCUGAGGGAUAACAGCAUAAUCUUUUUAAGGUUUGUGACCUCGAUGUUGGACUAGGAAGUCUGCUAGCUAGCCGCUAGCAAGAGGGAUUCUGUUCGAAUUUUUACUCCUACAUGAUCUGAGUUCAGACCGGCGUAAGCCAGGUCAGUUUCUAUCUUUUUAAUUAAGAAUUUUAGUACGAAAGGACCAAAUUCUGUUUAGUAAAAUUUA